CAAUAACGUAUAUUAAAGUUGUUGCAGUUAAAAAGCUCGUAGUUGGAUUUCGGUUGAGAACGGCCGGUCCGCCGUUUGGUGUGCACUGGCUGGUUUCAACUUCCUGUAGAGGACGCGCUCUGACUUCACGGCUGGACGCGGAGUCUACGUGGUUACUUUGAAAAAAUUAGAGUGUUCAAAGCGGGCUUACGCUUGAAUAUUUCAGCAUGGAAUAACACUAUAGGACUCCUGUCCUAUUUCGUUGGUCUCGGGACGGGAGUAAUGAUUAAGAGGAACAGUUGGGGGCAUUCGUAUUUCAUUGUCAGAGGUGAAAUUCUUGGAUUUAUGAAAGACGAACUUCUGCGAAAGCAUUUGCCAAGGAUGUUUUCAUUAA
rnacentral:rRNA from 1 species